UACGAAGGGUGCAAGCGUUACUCGGAAUUACUGGGCGUAAAGCGUGCGUAGGUGGUUUGUUAAGUCUGAUGUGAAAGCCCUGGGCUCAACCUGGGAAUUGCAUUGGAUACUGGCAGGCUAGAGUGCGGUAGAGGAUGGCGGAAUUCCCGGUGUAGCAGUGAAAUGCGUAGAGAUCGGGAGGAACAUCUGUGGCGAAGGCGGCCAUCUGGACCAGCACUGACACUGAGGCACGAAAGCCAGGGGAGCGAACGGG
rnacentral:rRNA from 1 species